rnacentral:rRNA from 1 species
UAAUUUUACUUUGAAACUGCGAAUGGCUCAUUAUAUCAGUUAUAGUUUAUUAGAAAUAYUUUACUACUUGGAUAACCGUAGUAAUUCUAGGGCUAAUACAUGARUAAAWCCUCAACUUCGGAAGAGGUGUGUUUAUUAGUAUGAAAACCAUAUAUCUUCGGAUAUAAUAGUGAGUAAUAAUAACCUUUCAUAUCGUAUGUCGUAAGAUAACGAUAGUUCUUUCAAGUUUCUGCCCUAUCAGCUUUCGAUGGUAGUAUAUGGGACUACCAUGGCAGUAACGGGUAACGAAGAAUUUGGGUUCGAUUUCGGAGAGGGAGCCUGAGAGAUGGCUACCACAUCCAAGGAAGGCAGCAGGCGCGUAAAUUACCCAAUCCUGACAUAGGGAGGUAGUGACAAUAAAUCACAAUGCGGAACUUUUAGUUUUGCAAUUGGAUUGAGAACAAUGUACAAAUGUUAUCGAUAAACAAUUGGAGGGCAAGU